UUUCCUGAAUCCAUGAUGAGAGAGAGACAAAGAGAGAGAUUUUGCUUUUUCUUAUGCUUUUUUGGUUUUGGUGCUUACUCUACUACUACUACUACUAUACAUACCCCUCCAUAUUUAAGUGGUUCGUACAAGGCGCAGAGAAUGAGGUAUGGGACAAAAGAAAAAAACAUGAGAAAGGGUUGUUUCUGGAGUUUGGUGAUAAUUAUGGAUUCAGAAAAAGAUAGUUUUCUUUCUUUCUUCAGAAUAUUGUACUCAUCACACACACUCACACCCACGUUUUUUCAUUCAAACUUCAAAUCUCUUUGGAUCUGAAAAAAAAAAAAAAAAAAGAGCCGUACACUGUGCUUUCUUUGUUUGACUAACUAUUAUUACUAAAUUUGUCUUUGAGCCAAACGAAAGAAAAACAUGUAUACGUAUAAAUGAACAUACAAAAGGAAAUAAUCAAAAGAAUAUUUAAUUCUUGCAGUUACAAGGGAAGAUGUGUAAACACAAACUUACUCUGUUUGUUUGGAUUCUUUGUAUUAGGGUUUGUGUCACAUGUACAAAAAAAGGAAGAGAAAGAGAGUAGUAGUGUAUGAAGGUGUGUGGAAGAAGAAAAGGAUAGUUGUUUAGC
rnacentral:lncRNA from 1 species